GAGGUGGUAUUUUUAGUGACUUGAUGGCUGUGUUAUCCAGCAUACUGACUUUCCAGAGUCAUCUCCAAGUUGCAAUGGACAACCUCUCUCCUUCUACCAGAGCCCAGAGAGGAAUAAACCAAGACCACCAGCUAAGACAUUAUGUAAUUGCCAUGGAUAUGAGCACUGAAUGCCCUCAGUGGCAAUGACUCAGGACCAAGUCAUCCCUUUACAAGAAUUACCUACAAAGGAAAUUGGAAACUCCAUGGCAUCUGUCUGUCAUCUUUCCCUCCAGCUGGUGCCUCUGAACCUCUUCUGAAGGAGCUUGUGCAAAGCAGAGCAUGGCAACAAGAAAUUUUCACAGCUCCAAUCCGUGAACAUACUAUCAAUUAAUACCAGAGACAGAAAUACUAUCACUGAAGCCAUGGAGGAAGCCCUGCAAUCUAGUCCCUGACCACUGAACUGCUGUGGUUUAAUUGUGUGAAACUGGGUUUCAAGAUUCAAGGUAUUGCUCAGAUUGUUCUGCAAUAAGUUCUUCAGAUUCAGCAGUGUCGACAGGAGGGAGCCCAUGAAUGUUGAUCUGACCCCAUCUCUGCAGCCAGCUGUGCCAUCACAUGAAAAAAGGAUUCUUUCUUCUGGAUCGCUCAUGGUUUUCCCAGCAGCCAGCCCUGUUGUACAGGUCAAAUCAGCAGUUGAUGCUACACAGAAAGACAAGACAACAAGACCUUGCUCAGGUGAAACAAACCUGAAAGUAGUGGUAACUGUGAUGAAUUUUAUUUGUACUGUCCAUUUGCAUGACAUCAUUGCAGAGAACUUCAUGCAACAGCUAGCAGAAAGCAUGUUCUAGAAGGAAUGCUACUGUUACCCCAGCACCAAAAGGGCAAUUGUGCCCUCAUUUCAGGAAGGCUGUGCUGUAAGGUCCACUCCUACCACUGCUUUUGCAUGAGAAAGCAGGAAAGCUUAUGCCUUGUUGUAAGGCCCUGGAAGGCUGCUCCUGCUAAUUAGUUUGGGGAAAUAGAAGGAGGCAUUUCAGAGAAACAUCACAUUUCUUGCACACAGUGCAGGUCAUCUUGCAGUUACAUUUGAGCUCCUAGGGUUGCAAAACAUCUCUAGUCUGGGAGACAGGGCUGCUGUCCCCAACAGAUUUUUUAAUUAUUUUUCUUUAUUUUAAAAUAAGUCCAGAGUGAGUGUUUUUCUUGACAAACUGUUGGCAGUUUUGUAACUUCAGACGUUAGGCAUGCUAGCACAAAUCCCGUACAUGUAUUUCUAAAUUAGAAUACAAAAUGACCAUAUCCUCUGAUCAUAAUUUAAAGAGUGAUUCAGAAUUCAGAAAUAAACCAAUCUUUCAGAGAGUUUCACUUAAUUUAGGAGCUUGUAAUGAACAGGAAUUUUUAAUAGCUCUGAAAUCUCCUUUCAAACCGAGCUCUAGCUAUAACCUAACAUUCUGACUAACUGGGUAUAGUUAAUAGUGCCAAGAGCUAGAAAUUCAAAUGCACAGUGCUCUUCUGUCCUCACAAUAAACUUGAAAUCUCUCUAUUUUGGA